rnacentral:rRNA from 1 species
GUGCCAGCCGCCGCGGUAAUACCGGCAGCCCGAGUGAUGGCCGAUUUUAUUGGGCCUAAAGCGUCCGUAGCUGGCCGCGCAAGUCCGUCGGGAAAUCCACUCGCCCAACGAGUGGCCGUCCGGUGGAAACUGCACACCUUGGGACCGGAAGGCUCGAAGGGUACGGCCGGGGUAGGAGUGAAAUCCUGUAAUCCCGGCCGGACCACCGAUGGCGAAAGCACUUCGAGAAAACGGAUCCGACAGUGAGGGACGAAAGCCAGGGUCUCCAACCGGAUUAGAUACCCGAGUAGUCC